rnacentral:lncRNA from 1 species
UCCUUCGUCGUCUUCAUCUCUUCAUUCUCUAAAAAAAACCUAAUCCACCAUGGAUAUUGGCGAUUCAGCUCCCCAAACUCCACCAAAAUGAUCCCACGGAACCACUAGAGCACCCUCAUACUGAAUCCAUGAACCACUUCCCUCAAAUCCUCCUUAAAUCUCUCAAAUCUUGAAUCCAAAAUUAGAAUUUCUAAGAACCAAGCCCAAGUCCAAGCAUGCAAGGUGAUUGCUCCAGUCUUCUUAAGAGUUUAGAGUUGAUUUUGUCGUGAAAUAGUGUUGUUUUCUUUUUCUUGACAAAGAAAGCGGUCAAUAUUAUCUAGCGAUGAAAUCAGAAAGUCAGGAUCAAAGUCAAG